AUGAACGCUGGCGGCGUGUCUAAUACAUGCAAGUCGCGCGAACAGACGAGGAGCUUGCUCCUCUGACGUUAGCGGCGGACGGGUGAGUAACACGUGGAUAACCUACCUAUAAGACUGGGAUAACUUCGGGAAACCGGAGCUAAUACCGGAUAAUAUAUUGAACCGCAUGGUUCAAUAGUGAAAGACGGUUUUGCUGUCACUUAUAGAUGGAUCCGCGCCGCAUUAGCUAGUUGGUAAGGUAACGGCUUACCAAGGCAACGAUGCGUAGCCGACCUGAGAGGGUGAUCGGCCACACUGGAACUGAGACACGGUCCAGACUCCUACGGGAGGCAGCAGUAGGGAAUCUUCCGCAAAGGGCGAAAGCCUGACGGAGCAACGCCGCGUGAGUGAUGAAGGUCUUCGGAUCGUAAAACUCUGUUAUUAGGGAAGAACAAAUGUGUAAGUAACUAUGCACGUCUUGACGGUACCUAAUCAGAAAGCCACGGCUAACUACGUG
rnacentral:rRNA from 1 species